rnacentral:rRNA from 1 species
CGGCAGGCCUAACACAUGCAAGUCGAGCGGAUGAAGAGGGCUUGCUCUCUGAUUCAGCGGCGGACGGGUGAGUAAUGCCUAGGAAUCUGCCUGGUAGUGGGGGACAACGUUUCGAAAGGAGCGCUAAUACCGCAUACGUCCUACGGGAGAAAGCAGGGGACCUUCGGGCCUUGCGCUAUCAGAUGAGCCUAGGUCGGAUUAGCUAGUUGGUGAGGUAAAGGCUCACCAAGGCGACGAUCCGUAACUGGUCUGAGAGGAUGAUCAGUCACACUGGAACUGAGACACGGUCCAGACUCCUACGGGAGGCAGCAGUGGGGAAUAUUGGACAAUGGGCGAAAGCCUGAUCCAGCCAUGCCGCGUGUGUGAAGAAGGUCUUCGGAUUGUAAAGCACUUUAAGUUGGGAGGAAGGGCAGUAAGCUAAUACC